UAGUUUCAGAAUAAACUAAAAGAAAAAGAGAAGGAAAAUGGAAACAGGGAAAGCAGGGGAGAGAGAGUGAAAUCCGAGAAAAGAGAGAGAGAGGGAAGGGCGCCGGUGGAAAGGGGAAGACGCGCCGGAGCUGGUGGGCUGUUCCGCCGCUCUUCGUCACGGUUGAGGCCGUCGCCGCCGCAGAUGUGUCUGUGCCGUUGUAUGUCGCCGUCAGAGGAAGAGGAGCGCGAACCAGAGCCAUGCAAGGGAGGAGCAGAGCGCGCGCAAGGGAGAAGCCACCGCUGCCACUGCUGAGGUCACUAUCGUCGUCCUCACCGCAAGCAGAGUCACUGCCAUCCAUGGUGGAGCCGAGGAGAGAGAGUGCCCGAAGAGAGGAGACUGACGGAUGAGGAGUGCGAUGCGAGGAAGGAGACGAUGUUUACGUCACUGCCGCCAAAUCUCACCACCGCUGCUGGAGCCUCUGGCCGUCGGGACCGCCUUUCUUACCACCGCUGAUGAAGCUCAUCGGAGUUGCUCGAAGGUUACUGUCGCUCUAUUUGGUUUUGUUGGAAGCUGCGCUGCUGCAGGUGUGAUUGCCGAAAACUGCCGCCGGAACCCUGUCUUCUUGGUUGGUCGGUUAGAUGGUAUGCAGCAGUUGUGUAAGUCUUUGGUUGUUCAAGCUGGAACCUUUUCCAAACAAGUGAGAAUAAACAACACUAAGAAGAGUUUGCAAGCUGCCCCUAGUAUUUCUUAUUCGUCAAUUUAAGACAUUCACAGUGAUGAUGGUGGAUAUGGGUUCUGUGUCAAGUUGUGUUGUGUUGGUUCCCUUGUGAAUAUGAUGCCAAAAAAAGAUGAUGAUGGCCGGUUUGUAAGUGGAGGGUGGAAAAGUGAGGAUGGAAGGCUGGUAUUCAAGCUUCAGAUGGAAGAGAGUAACGAUGGAGGAUUUUUAUGAUAUUAAAACAUUGAAGAUUGGUGGUCAUUCAGUAUGCUUAUUUGGAAUAUUUGAUGGUCAUGGUAGUUCUCGUGCUGCAGAGUAUUUGAAAGAGCAUAUCUUUAAUAAUCUCAUGAAGCAUUCAAAUUUUCUUUACUGGCGCCAAAUUGGCUAUAAGUGAAACGUAUCAAGGGACUGAUUCUCAAUUUCUGGAUUCUGAAAAAGACACUUUCUGGGAUGAUGGCUCUACUAUUUCAACCGCUGUUUUAGUUGAUAACCAUCUCUAUGUUGCUAAUGUUGGAGAUUCUGGGACUAUAAUAUUGAAAGCUGGUAAAGCAAUUGCUCUCUCAGGAUCACAAGCCAAACAGAAGUGAUGAACGGAAGAGGAAUUGAUGCGUUUAACUACUGAGCGUUGACUAAAUUGAGGAACCAGAUGAAGAUGCAUUAAGGAGUGUUAUUCUGUGUUUGGUUUAUAUAUUGUUGUAUUAAUUAGAUUAUUUUCUUCCCUCGUCUUUGUUAUUACAAAUUU